GCAAGUCGAGCGGGGGAAGGUAGCUUGCUACCGGACCUAGCGGCGGACGGGUGAGUAAUGCUUAGGAAUCUGCCUAUUAGUGGGGGACAACAUCUCGAAAGGGAUGCUAAUACCGCAUACGUCCUACGGGAGAAAGCAGGGGAUCUUCGGACCUUGCGCUAAUAGAUGAGCCUAAGUCGGAUUAGCUAGUUGGUGGGGUAAAGGCCUACCAAGGCGACGAUCUGUAGCGGGUCUGAGAGGAUGAUCCGCCACACUGGGACUGAGACACGGCCCAGACUCCUACGGGAGGCAGCAGUGGGGAAUAUUGGACAAUGGGGGGAACCCUGAUCCAGCCAUGCCGCGUGUGUGAAGAAGGCCUUAUGGUUGUAAAGCACUUUAAGCGAGGAGGAGGCUACUUUAGUUAAUACCUAGAGAUAGUGGACGUUACUCGCAGAAUAAGCACCGGCUAACUCUGUGCCAGCAGCCGCGGUAAUACAGAGGGUGCGAGCGUUAAUCGGAUUUACUGGGCGUAAAGCGUGCGUAGGCGGCUUAUUAAGUCGGAUGUGAAAUCCCCGAGCUUAACUUGGGAAUUGCAUUCGAUACUGGUGAGCUAGAGUAUGGGAGAGGAUGGUAGAAUUCCAGGUGUAGCGGUGAAAUGCGUAGAGAUCUGGAGGAAUACCGAUGGCGAAGGCAGCCAUCUGGCCUAAUACUGACGCUGAGGUACGAAAGCAUGGGGAGCAAACAGGAUUA
rnacentral:rRNA from 1 species